UACGUAGGGUGCGAGCGUUGUCCGGAAUUACUGGGCGUAAAGAGCUCGUAGGGGGUUUGCCGCGUUGUUCGUGAAAACUCACAACUCAAUUGUGGGCGUGCGGGCGAUACGGGCAGACUGGAGUACUGCAGGGGAGACUGGAAUUCCUGGUGUAGCGGUGGAAUGCGCAGAUAUCAGGAGGAACACCGGUGGCGAAGGCGGGUCUCUGGACAGUUCCUGACGCUGAGGCACGAAGGUCAGGGGAGCAAACGGG
rnacentral:rRNA from 1 species